rnacentral:rRNA from 1 species
GACGAACGCUGGCGGCGUGCCUAAUACAUGCAAGUAGAACGCUGAAGGAGGAGCUUGCUCUUCUGGAUGAGUUGCGAACGGGUGAGUAACGCGUAGGUAACCUGCCUGGUAGCGGGGGAUAACCAUUGGAAACGAUAGCUAAUACCGCAUAACAGUAGAUGUUGCAUGACAUUUACUUAAAAGGUGCAAUUGCAUCACUACCAGAUGGACCUGCGUUGUAUUAGCUAGUUGUUGGGGUAACGGCUCACCAAGGCGACGAUACAUAGCCGACCUGAGAGGGUGAUCGGCCAAACUGGGACUGAGACACGGCCCAGACUACUACGGCAGGCAGCAGUAGGGAAUCUUCAGCAAUGGACGGAAGUGUGACUGAGCAACGCCGCGUGAGUGAAGAAGGUAUUCGGGUCGUAAAGCUCUGUUGUAAGAGAGGAACGAAUGUGAGAGUGGAAAGUUCACACUGUGACGGUAUCUGACGAGAAAGGGACGGCUAACUACGUG